GAAAAGCUGCUCUGACCUUAUCGCCAAGCCGGGCCCCAGAAUGCAAAGCGAGGAGCAGUCACUACACUAGCAGGGAGCGCGCUUUAAAGCGCCCAGAUGGGGCCAGCCUCGGCAUGAAUCGGCGCCGGACGGGAAGCUACAAAAUCGGCUCAGCUUAUUAACCUUCAGCUUUAACCAAGCCAUAGCGAAAAGAAAUUUAAUUUGCGUUGUCCUUGGGGGAUAUCCCGACGUUUUGCGUCAUCGCACGCCGUGAUCCCAACAUGACAAACUGAUUUGGUGUGACGCUCAUGUACAGCCGUGUUCAUGUUACAUCGGGCUGCGUGACAGACUGCCAUCCUUCUGCUUUUGCUGCUAUUCAUCAUCCUGCUUAUACAGCCAUUACUUGAAGGCCAACCAGUGUGAUUCGCAGGGACUGAUGGGAUUUCAUUGACAUACAUUGACAUCGAAUACUUAAUUUGUCCAUUUUCCAGCAGCUUUGUCAAAAAGGAGACUGCAGGUGAUGCUGUACUCAAAAUAACUGAACAGAUUUUUUUUCCUGCUUAUAUAUACAUAUUAAUACAUUGCAUAAUGAACUGAAUUCACCUAUUUUGUGAUUUUUUUUUUUCUUUCAUAACUUGCCCUGUUAAAUCCCUAUACUUCCUAUAUAGAAAAAUUCUGUUUGAAAGUACAUUUUUAAACUUAAACUUGUAUUUAAUAUGUCAUAUUGCCCCAUUCAAAACACAUCCUUUAAGACAACUGAGGUAAUUACAAACCCAACCUAUUAGUCUGCCUUGUCCAUGCACUUUGUCCAAUCAGCUUUAUUCCCUAUGCUGCAAUAAAAUUAUGCCCAAGUUUUUGAAACAUGGCAAAACUAAGCUAUUGGCCAUUUUCCACAAAUGAUCUGAAACAAAAUGUACUAAUCAAGCAGGCCAGGGCAGAUAAAUCUGCCUGCCAAGACCAGCUGUUUGGGUACAAGGCUGUUUGGGUUCAAGAUCAUACCUGGAUGUGGACUUCAGCAAAAAUAAUUUUGCAAUGUCUUU